AUUAUCACUCACAAAGUGGGGAAUUCAGCAUAUAAACUGCAAUUUCCUCCUCGUGUGAAGAUGCAUCCUAUUUUUCAUGUGAGCCAGCUCAAGAAACACAUUGGCAGCAAAUCUAUACCCAGUCCUAACCUCCCAAUGGUCAAUACAGAUGGCUCAAUCAAAACAUGUCCAGCCGGAGUUUUGGAAGUCAGACAAGUCGCUCGCAGAGACCUACCAGUGGUACAAUGGCUCAUCCAGUGGAAAAAUUGCCACCCGACGGCGCCGCAUGGGAAGACUCUGAUUUCAUCAAAUAUACCUUCCCCAAUUUCUUCAAGGAGACCACUCAAGCAUGGAGGUCAGCUAACCAAACGCCGUGAGGAUUCGUCGUUGCUCAAGAGGAGGGCAAUGUCAGGCCUGAGAAUGAAGUGUCAUAUUCUUCAGUUAUCUGUCCCAAAAUUCGGUCUCACCGCUUGGGCUCUCCUUCCUCGGCCGUCUCCUCAGGACGGGCCUCAAGGCAGACCAGGUCGUCGCCAACAACUUGCUCAAGUGCCUCUGCUGCUUCAUGGGAUGCCCGACCUUGGCUGUGUGCCUGAUGCUGUCUCAUACAAGAUAUACAACAUACAGUAG
rnacentral:rRNA from 1 species